AGAGACAGCAGCAGCCGCGGGAAUACAGAGGGUGCGAGCGUUAAUCGGAUUUACUGGGCGUAAAGCGUGCGUAGGCGGCUUCUUAAGUCGGAUGUGAAAUCCCUGAGCUUAACUUAGGAAUUGCAUUCGAUACUGGGAAGCUAGAGUAUGGGAGAGGAUGGUAGAAUUCCAGGUGUAGCGGUGAAAUGCGUAGAGAUCUGGAGGAAUACCGAUGGCGAAGGCAGCCAUCUGGCCUAAUACUGACGCUGAGGUACGAAAGCAUGGGGAGCAAACAGGAUUAGAUACCCGCGUAGUCCCUGUCUCUUAUAC
rnacentral:rRNA from 1 species